rfam:Sordaria macrospora k-hell, WGS project CABT02000000 data, contig: 2.29
GCCGAAAUGGCCGAGUGGUCUAAGGCGCUUGACUUAAGUUUGGUUUUCACCCGAUCUUAAGGUCUUCAAGUUCUCGCGAGAGAGCGUGGGUUCGAACCCCACUUUCGGCA